AGGGCGAAAAGCUGGGGCAGGGUCCCAGAAGGCUGGGUCGAGGCUAAACGCCAAGAUCGACCCCGCCAGAGCACGCCUAAGCUCCAACCCCGCGCCACCUGUCCCCAGCUUGGGCGGUAGCGCAGCCCCAGGAUGGACCUUCGAGGAAGAGAGGGCGCCCCACGCUGUAGCGAUUUUCGCUGUAGCUCAGGCUGGAAGCAGAGUCCCCGGGAGGGGCGCAAGACGCACAGGCUGCCCUACCUGUCCGGCGAUGUAGAGCAAGCACCAGGUGCCACCGAGGAAGCGGGCAGAUCACAAGAUCAAGAGAUCGAGACCAUCCUGGCCAAUAUGGUGAAACCCUGUCUCUACUAAAAAAUGCAAAAAAAUAGCCAGGUAUGGUGGCACGUGCCUGUGGUCCCAGCUACUCGGAAGGCUGAGGCGGAAGAAUCACUUGAACCUGGGAGGCAGAGGUUGCAGUGAGCCGAGACUGCGCCACUGCACUCCAGCCUGGUGACAGAGCAAGACUCCGUCUCAUUAAAAAAAAAAAAAAAAAAAAAAAGAAGAAGAAGAUUAAAUCAAGAGCCAAAUAUAGAAAGCUUCAUUUAAAGAAAUGAAUGGUUAUCUGGGUCAAGUAGUACUAAUAUUUGUAAAAAAACUCCCAUGUUUUCACGCAUAAAGGUAUACCAGAAUGAUUCUGUCACUAAUGCAUUCAUUCAUUAAAUAUGUAUUUGUCUACAGUGUGCCUGGGGUGGGUAAAGCUGUGCCCAAGAUAGGCAGGUCCUCUCAUCAAGCAGUUUACAUUGCAAAAAGGGAAGGGAAACUGGUAAUAAACAUGUAAAUAAAUGAUUAAAGAAGCUCAUUUUAUAAAGGCUAAGAAGAAAGUUGAGAUCAGAGUUAGAGAUAAUUAGGACUGAUUCCAUCUUUGCUUCACAUUGUAUAUUGGUCUACUAGGGCUAACAUUUUUAAAUGUCACAGACUGGGUAAUUUAUAAAGAACAAAAAUUUAUUAUUCACAGUUCUGGAGGCCGGGAAGUACCAGCUCAAGACACCAGCAGAUUCAGUGUCUGGUAAGGGCCUGUUCACCACAGAUGGUGCCUUCUGUGUGUCCUCUCAUUGCAAAAGGAGCCAAUAGGCUCCCUCAGGCCUCCUUGAUAAGGCACUGUUCCCAUUCUUAAGGGUAGUCCUAGCUCUCAAGACCCAAUCAUCCACUAAAGGCCCCACCUCUUAAUACCAUUGCAUUGUGAUUAGGUUUUAACAUAUGAAUUCACAGGAGACACAAAUAUUCAGACCACAGCAGGCCUCUUUUUCCGGCUUGUUGAAGGCUGCCUUCUUCACUAUGUCCUCAAAUAGCUUCUUCUCUGUUUCUGCAUGGAGAGAGACACAGACAGACAGAUAGAUACACACACGCACACAGAGAGAGAGAGAGAGAGAGAGAGAGAGAGAGAGAGAGAGAGAGAGAGAGAGAGAGAGAGAAAGAGAGAAAGAGAGAAAGAGGGCACAGAGAGGAUGGUAUCUUUUCCAUUUCUUAUAAGGACACCAGCCUAUCCAAACUAGGGCCCCACUCUUAUGUUCUCAUUUAACCUUAAUUAUCUCCCUAAUGGUCCUACCUCCAGAUGCAAUCACCUAGGGGGUUAUAGCUUCAACAUAUACAUUUUAAGGAGACACAGUUCAGCCCAUGACAUUCUUUUACCUAUAAAAGAACUUUCUUACAAAGGGAAAGAAGAAAAAGAAAAUAAAUGAUCCCUUGUAUAGGAACAUUAGAGAAAAAUGGCAAAGACACAGAGUCCUAUUUCUCCUAUUAUAUAAAAAGUAUGGGUGGUUAAAAUAACUCAACUGUUAAGUAUAUAAAAACCUUACUAAUUGAUGUUCAUCGAAGAAUUUGUGAAAUAUUUAAAGUAGUGAAUCUGAAUGAUCAAAUUACUGAUUUUUAUUUAUUUUAAAAGAAACCAAUGUGUCUACCUUUAUUUAUAUAUACCAAGAAGCUAAACAUAUUUAUUUAUUAUUGCAUAGUAGGCAAUUUCUAGAUCUGGAAAUCAUGGAGCUUCCACAUUCAUAGGUACUCUCAUGUCACUAACU
rnacentral:lncRNA from 1 species